ACGUAGGAGGCGAGCGUUAUCCGGAUUCACUGGGCGUAAAGCGUGCGUAGGCGGUUAGGUAAGUCGGACGUUAAAGCCCCUGGCUCAACUAGGGGAGGUCGUUCGAUACUGCUUGGCUUGAGGAUGAGAGAGGAAAGUGGAAUUCCCGGUGUAGCGGUGGAAUGCGUAGAGAUCGGGAGGAACACCAGUGGCGAAAGCGGCUUUCUGGCUCAUUUCUGACGCUGAGUGCACGAAAGCGUGGGUAGCAAACGGGAUUAGAUACCCCGGUAGUCCACGCCUUAAACGAUGAGGGCUGGGUGUUGGUAGGGUUUCCUAUCAGUGCCGAAGCUAACGCGUUAAGCCCUCCGCCUGGGGACUACGAACGCAAGUUUA
rnacentral:rRNA from 1 species